AACUUAGCGGCGGACGGGUGAGUAAUGCUUAGGAAUCUGCCUAUUAGUGGGGGACAACGUUUCGAAAGGAACGCUAAUACCGCAUACGCCCUACGGGGGAAAGCAGGGGAUCUUCGGACCUUGCGCUAAUAGAUGAGCCUAAGUCAGAUUAGCUAGUUGGUGGGGUAAAGGCCUACCAAGGCGACGAUCUGUAGCGGGUCUGAGAGGAUGAUCCGCCACACUGGGACUGAGACACGGCCCAGACUCCUACGGGAGGCAGCAGUGGGGAAUAUUGGACAAUGGGGGGAACCCUGAUCCAGCCAUGCCGCGUGUGUGAAGAAGGCCUUUUGGUUGUAAAGCACUUUAAGCGAGGAGGAGGCUCUUCUAGUUAAUACCUAAAAUGAGUGGACGUUACUCGCAGAAUAAGCACCGGCUAACUCUGUGCCAGCAGCCGCGGUAAUACAGAGGGUGCGAGCGUUAAUCGGAUUUACUGGGCGUAAAGCGUACGUAGGCGGCUUUUUAAGUCGGAUGUGAAAUCCCU
rnacentral:rRNA from 1 species